rnacentral:rRNA from 1 species
GACGAACGCUGGCGGCGUGCUUAACACAUGCAAGUCGAACGGAAAGGCCCUGCUUUUGUGGGGUGCUCGAGUGGCGAACGGGUGAGUAACACGUGAGUAACCUGCCCUUGACUUUGGGAUAACUUCAGGAAACUGGGGCUAAUACCGGAUAGGAGCUCCUGCUGCAUGGUGGGGGUUGGAAAGUUUCGGCGGUUGGGGAUGGACUCGCGGCUUAUCAGCUUGUUGGUGGGGUAGUGGCUUACCAAGGCUUUGACGGGUAGCCGGCCUGAGAGGGUGACCGGCCACAUUGGGACUGAGAUACGGCCCAGACUCCUACGGGAGGCAGCAGUGGGGAAUCUUGCACAAUGGGCGGAAGCGUGAUGCAGAAACGCCGCGUGCGGGAUGACGGCUUUCGGGUUGUAAACCGCUUUCGCCUGUGACGAAGCGUGAGUGACGGUAAUGGGGAAAGAAGCACCGGCUAACUACGU